rnacentral:tRNA from 1 species
GCCCGGGUAGCUCAGCGGCGAGAGCAGCUGCCUUACAAGCAGCGGAGCGGGGGUUCGAGUCCCUCCCCGGGCAC